UACGUAGGGUGCGAGCGUUGUCCGGAAUUAUUGGGCGUAAAGAGCUUGUAGGCGGUUUGUCGCGUCUGCCGUGAAAAUUCGAGGCUCAACCUCGAACUUGCGGUGGGUACGGGCAGACUAGAGUGUGGUAGGGGAGACUGGAAUUCCUGGUGUAGCGGUGAAAUGCGUAGAUAUUGGGAAGAACACCGGUGGCGAAGGCGGCUCACUGGCUCAUUUCUGACGCUCAGGCGCGACAGCGUGGGGAUCAAACAGG
rnacentral:rRNA from 1 species